rnacentral:lncRNA from 1 species
AUGCUCCGACCUAGCAAGGUGCGCGCCGGCGGGGAGGCGGGGCCCACCCUCGGUCCCGCCCCGUCACUCUCGCCCCCGCCCCCGCCCGCCGAGGUCCCGCCCAGGCCGCCGCGCGCUUCCCGUCGGGCGGUCCUGGCGCCCAGGCCACGCCCCCGCCCUGGGCCCCGCCCCCAGCCUCGGCCUGGUCCCGCCCCUCCGCGUCCUCGCCGCGCUUCCGCCGAAUCCCGGCUCGCGCUGGCCCCGAGCACGCUGCCAGGUCCCGCCCCCAGGCCUCGGCCCCGCCCCCGCCCCGCCCCCGCCCUGCGCCUGUCCCCCGGGCUUCCUGUGCUCCCUCGGCGCUGCGUGGUCCUGCGCUCUGAGUUCCUUGCGGUUGGCGGCUUAGGCAGCGCGGUUCUUGAGAAGAUGGACGAGACCUGUGAAAUGAAAUACAGAGUGAUGGACAGCCCUCUGGGGAAGCUGGAGAUCUCUGGUUGUGAGCAGGGUCUGCAUGGGAUAAAGCUGCAUGGCGGGAAGACCCCAGACACUAGACCCGCGGAGGCCACCGCUCCUGCUGAGCAGCUCGGAGGUCCCGGGGCAGUGCAGCCCCUGCUGCAGUGCGCGGCCUGGCUGGACGCCUAUUUCCGCGAGCCCGCUGUCCUCGAGGGGCUCCCCGUGCCCGCGCUGCACCAUCCCAUCUUCCAGAAAGAGUCAUUCACCAGACAGGUGUUAUGGAAGCUGCUGAAGCUUGUGAAAUUCGGAGAAACGGUUUCUUACCAGCAAUUAGCAGCCCUGGCGGGCAACCCCAGAGCAGCGCGGGCCGUGGGAGGAGCCAUGAGGAGCAACCCUAUUCCCAUCCUCAUCCCGUGCCAUCGCGUGGUCUGCAGCAGCGGGGCCAUGGGCAACUACUCCGGAGGCGUGGGCGUGAAGGAGUGGCUGCUGGUCCACGAGGGCCAUCCUGCCAGGAAAGCGGCCCGUGGAGGGGGCUCCUGUGCCACCAGCUCCUGGCGCGGGGCCCUGGGCAACACCACCAGCUCCCAGCCCUCUGGCCGAGACUGAGUGUGUAUGAGCAGCUUGCUGGGCAUGGGGUGUGUGCUGGGGGGGUGGGGGG